AUUGAACGCUGGCGGCAGGCCUAACACAUGCAAGUCGAACGAGUGGCGGACGGGAGAGAAAUGUCUGGGAAACUGCCUGAUGGAGGGGGAUAACAAAUGGAAACGGUAGCUAAUACCGCAUUGCAUCGGAUAUGACCAGAUGGGAUGAGCGAGUAGGUGGGGUAAAGGCUCACCUAGGCGACGAUCCCUAGCUGGUCUGAGAGGAUGACCAGCCACCCUGGAACUGAGCCACGGUCCAGACUCCUACGGUAGGCAGCAGUGGGGAAUAUUGCACAAUGGGCGCAAGCCUGAUGCAGCCAUGCCGCGUGUGUGAAGAAGGCCUUCGGGUUGUAAAGUACUUUCAGCGGGGAGGCGUUACCCGCAGAAGAAGCACCGGCUAACUCCGUGCCAGCCGCCGCGGUAAUUC
rnacentral:rRNA from 1 species